GGAUCGAUCGAAUAUUUUUUUAACGAAUGCCAAUUUUCCCAUUGAGAACUCGUUUAUAUCUGCAUUUAUAUGGCUGUAAUUUUCUUCUUGAUUUUUGCUUUUGU